rnacentral:rRNA from 1 species
UACGAAGGGGGCUAGCGUUGCUCGGAUUUACUGGGCGUAAAGGGCGCGUAGGCGGACAGUUUAGUCAGAGGUGAAAGCCCAGGGCUCAACCUUGGAAUUGCCUUUGAUACUGGCUGUCUUGAGUACGGGAGAGGUGAGUGGGAACUCCGAGUGUAGAGGUGAAAUUCGUAGAUAUUCGGAAGAACACCAGUGGCGAAGGCGACUCACUGGCCCGUUACUGACGCUGAGGCGCGAAAGCGUGGGGAGCAAACAGG